CUUAUACUCCCUCCGUUCGGAAUUACUUGUCUCAGAUAUGGAUCUAUCUAGAACUAAAAUACGUCUAGAUACAUCCAUUUCCGCGACAAGUAAUUCCGAACGGAGGGAGUAUUAU
rfam:Triticum aestivum genome assembly, contig: Triticum_aestivum_CS42_TGACv1_scaffold_019365_1AS